CAAUGGUGCCUGAGGAGGACAUGGAAGUUCAUCCCCCUGUUCCCAUACCUUCCCUACCCAUGUCUUUCAUCUGGCUGUUCCUGAGUUACAUCCUUUAUAAUAAACUGGGAAUCUGGACCUGGACGUCUUUGGGGGGACACUUAUUCUGCAGCCACAGAGGUUCGACCAGCACUUCACUCCCACCAGCGGUGCGUAAGACUUCCUAUUUUCUCACUUCUUGCCGAGAUUUGGUAUUAUCAGAUUUUACAACAUUCUCAAUCUGAUGGAUAGAAAAUGAUGUUUGCUGACGGUUUUAAUUUGCAUUUCUCUGUUUACAAAUGAACUUGAACAUCUUUUCAUAUUUUUAUCGGCCUUUCAGCUUUCAUUUUUGAAUUACCUGUACCUACCCUUUUAUCUCAUUUUUCUAAUUUUUUUUCACUUAUGUACAAGGGUCUUUAUAAUGUAGAGACUAAUUCUUGGUCAGUGAUCAGUUACAGGUGUCUCAAAAAUCACUUCCCAGAUGAGGCUUAGCUUUAACUUUGUGAGGUUUUUGUUGUACACGAGGUUUUAUGUCAGUGUAGUCACAUUUGUGGAUCUUUCCAUUUACGAUUUGUGGAUUUUUAAAAGUCUUAUUCAUAGGAUUUUUCUUUAGUGUGAUAAGGUAAAGAUAUUCUUUACAAUUAUUACGUUUUAAAUUUUUGCCUUUCCAACAUGGGUCUUGAUCCAUUGGUAUUUAUAUUUGUGGGUGUGAGAAAGAGCUUUCCUUUUAUUUUCGCCUGUCUGUCUUCUGUGUCUGUCUUCACCCGACGAUGGACGGAUCCAGUCUUCUCUCUCCCCUGCCUUCGGCUCUGGCUCCCUGAGGACCCUCCCAUGUGGGAGUGACUUUGGAGGGGGGUCCUGUUCUGGUCACUGUUCAAUCUUCCAUCCUCCCAAAACCAUAAAUAAAUUCCACAGUUUUUAGUAAGUCUUGAUAUCUACUACUGGUCAAAUAUGCCAACUUUUCUUCUUGAAAGUUAUCUUCAUCAUUUGGACUUUUUGUACCUGCGUGUGAAUCACAGCGUCAUCUUGUCAAGUUUUGAGAAACCUUUUUUGGAUUUCAAUGGAAUUUCAGUUAAAUGUAUACGUCAAUUUAGGGAGAAUUGCCAUCUUUAUGACAGCGAGUCUUCUCGCCAGUUAACAUUUAGGUCUGUUUUCUGUAUUUCGAAGCAUUUUCAAAUAUCCUCCUUAAGGUUUUGCUCAAUUUUUUCUUGUUACGUUUAUCCCCAUGUACUUUUUUUUUGUAUCAUAAAUGAAGUUGGAAUUUUGAGUUAUGUUUUCUUACUAUUUGGUGCUGGUGCGUGUGUGCAUUUGCGUGUAGGUGUGUGUCCACGUGUGUUUGUCUGGUAUCCAGCAACCUUAUUGAACUCACUCUCUUUUUAGCUUUAAGAGUUUGUGGUUUCUCUGGGAUUGUCGAUAUACACGGCCCAUCCAGUCAAAGUGUUUGUUUGGGCCCAAUAAAUAACACUCCUCUUUCCUACCCAGCUUCUGAAGUCAAAAUAAGCCAAAAUCCAGCCAGAGGUCAUGCUAUCCUCUCUAUUUGAGGAAAUGCUAUUAGAGAAUACAUGAUACCUACAGACAAGUGAGUUUCCCAGUACGGAACCCCAAAUUAGCAUAUUUGCUCAUCUGAUGGUCGGAUACUGGCCUGUCCCCUUUGUCCACCCAGCCGACCCCACAGCUUAGGAAGAUGGAGAACACACAAUCACUGGGACAGGCCAGCAACUCAGAGCAAAGGAGGAGGAAGGAAAAGCCAGGGAUGAGCAGAGCAUGAGGGGCUCGGUGCAAAAUAAAAAUGCAGAGCUCUCGUUCAGUUCCACAGUCUCCCUCCAACUUGUCAUGGUGUUUAUUUGGUAGCUAUUUAACGUCAUUCUAAGUAUAGAGAAAUUAAAAUUUUAAAUUACUGGCAUGAAUUUUGCCAAUCAUCUUUAUAUUCUACAACUCCGGUUUUCAAGGUAAAUAUAAGAAUGUUGAGCUUGUCCAAGCAAUCAUGGAAGUUACACAAUGUGUAUUUUGUAGCUCUUAGGUGCUUAUGUAUUUCCUUCUUAACAGAAGGGGGAACUUCUGCACACAAUGGACUGUGUGGUUUCUAGUCCACUUCUUGCUGGGUGCACAUUCACCUGACACCUCCGCCCGGGAGCACUGGGAACGAGGAAGGACCCAGAGGAGAGGGAGUUGGGGCCACCCCGUCUUUUCCUCCCUCUGUGUCACGUUUUCAGCUUAAAUGAACCGCUAACACAGGGAAGUAAUGAGAACUCCCAGCAUGAGGGAGGGUUCCUGGGUCCAUGGGUUUUCUCAGGACACGUUGCCUCCUUUCUCUGUUCCAUGAACAGCGUCUCCCAGGUACUGGGUCAUAAAUGGAACACAUUACCUUGAACUCCGGCUGUCACGGGUCCCCCACAUCCUGUGCUCAUGGGCAUCGUGACUGCUCUGUGCAAACAGGAAGGCUAGAACAAGAACAGACACGUGUUCCACCGCCCUAGCAGACAGAAGGCAGGCUCAAAGAGAAGAUCAUAAGAUUUCAAGACAAUGACAGCAGAGCAUCCAAUUGACAGGACUGGUCCCAUGCCCCUGAGAUGGGUCCUGGCUACAGGCCCAGUUCCCCCUCCAACCUCACCUGUCACCUUUGUCACUCAGCCUCUCCGAGAGUCGCUCCAGCUUCAGCCUCAGGCAGACGCAUUGCUUGUAAUUCCCAAAAGCAGGAUUUUAAAACUUACUGUGGAACAAUUGGUAUUGAACAUCAGGAUGUGUUAAGAAGGAAACGUGAUUCCUAAAUUCCGGAAGCCUCAGGAGGAAGAGGCUCGGAAUCCAGGACACAUGCGUGGCCCCCACCCGUGAGGGAAAGAUAGGAGUUCUAGCUGCCGAGACGAAACUUCUGAGUCAUUGUGGACAAAGCCGUACAGUUGAAAAGCACAGGUUUCUAUGAAGCAGCUUUUCCUUCCUGCUGUAGAUUCCAGAAAGGGAGGGAAGGCAGAUCCAACAUGGAAGAGGUCAAAGAGAAGCUGGACCAUCAGGGUGGACAUCGUCCUGGGGGCUGUGUGACUGAGAAAGCCGAUUAACCUCGACGAUGCUCGUUUUCCUGGCUCAUAAAAUGGGGGUGAUGAUAGGUAUGAUAUAACUUUAAAAAGCAACUUGGAGAUCCUGAGCAGUGCACGCCAUCCAGGAAACGACAAAUUUUUGUCCCAGUCUCGGUCCUCACGUACCACCCCUAUAAGUUUCCAGGUCCAAAUAUAUAGAUGUUUUGCCAGACAUUUAUCAUUUGUACAUUGAAAUAACAAACUACUUGCAAGUUGAUUUACCCUCCAAAAGAAGUAGCAUUUCCAACAUUGAGUCAAAGAUACUGAAGAGGCUUUAAAGUUUUCCACAUUAGCCGUCUGUGUCAAGUAACAAUAAGGUGCUUGUUUUUAAGUGAAAAGCCCCAUUCUAUGUGUUUCCCGCUGAGCUGGGUGUUGAUUGUCUGCAGGCAGCCCAGCGACCCUGCCGGCCGCUGUCUGUCCUGCUUUUACAAUCAGUCCUGGGGAGCUUUGAAGCAGCAGAAGAUGCCUCUGAGGGUUUAUCUGAAAGGCCUCGUUGUAGUCCGUCUGGUUGUUUUUAGAGCUGGCUGGAAAAGAGAUCUCUCUAGAUACCGUGCUUAGAAAUCAGUAUGCACGCGUGGUUUCCACUGUCUAAUUAAUUCAAAAUGAUCACGAGAAACUUUGUCCUCUCUACGCAAGGCACAGAGAGAGAACAACUUUUGACCUUUAAUCCCAGUUCCUACCCUGACAAAAGUACCCAAUGGCUUUGAGCGCAUCAUUUCAACCCCCCAGCUUCUGCCGGGUGCUGAGGAGCCUGGGGUCCUAAUUAGUCCUUGAGGGGACUGGAGGGGACGUGAACUGGACAGAUCCUGCCUGGGGGACCAGGACUCUGAAGGGGAGGGCAGAGCUGGCGUGCACCCUGGGGCUGCCCAGAGCUGACCCAAUUUUGCAGCACCAUCCUCUCUGCAAACCAUCAGCCUGUCCUUCAAAAUCUCUUCUUUCUAUCUAGUCACCUUGCUCUUCCAUCGCCGCCCGUGGUGGACAUUGGGGUCACUGAGACGGGCGUGCUCCUAUAUUUUAGAUUUUUCUGGCAUCUGUAGUGUAAACACAGCCCAGGUGGAUCCGAGGUUCGUAGGUUUGAAGAACCAUGAACAGAGGGAAGAUGGAGCAUCUGCUUUCCUACGAGCAACAUGCACAAGGGGGCGGCUUCAGUCUAGGACCCCAACGCUUAACUUGUCAUUUUGCCACCUGUUUUCAGACCCCGUCCAAUUUAGACUCUUGAGAGAUUACUAUUUCUAAAGUUAAACAGUCGAUUAAACAGGAUUUGGUUUAGCCCAUCACAGAUGUUAAAGAUUAAACCAGACCGAGGAGGGAAAACAGCCCACAAUGGAGGCACCCGCCCUCAUUAGGACCUGAGCUGGCACUGCCACGCCAUGCGGGAGCUCUUGACACGUUUCCAGCAGGACUCCCACACACCAGUGGCCGUCCUGGCCACUCCAGGAAGACAGGGACACGGACAGUCCCGUCUUCUUCACCCUUGAUGUCAGGGAGGGUGGCAGUGCUCUCUGAGGACAGCCAUUGUUGGCAGAACCCUGGAUGUGAGAAUUUCAUUGUUCUGCCCUGAGUGGCACUGAGUUACCAGAGCUGGGGGGCACAGGGUAAGGUGGGGCUGACCUGCCCCUGUGCCCGGACAAGGGGCUCUUGGAUCCGCCUGGGUGCUCAAAAAUGGCAGGAGUUAAGAAGGCUCCCAGAGAGCCAUGCACCAGGGACGGCUCUGUGCUGGGAGGGGGACCCCAGCAACCAAGAGCACUGGCUGUGCCUGUGGACCCCCGGUGCCCAGGGUCAGGGUGCUGAGCCACUGUCGACAGCGUGGGACAGAGCACAUCCCUCCAUCCCGAGAACCGCUUCUCCUGUCUUCGACUCACGGAGCCUGUUGGAUUGAAAACAAAAUGCCAGAGAGAGUUCCCAGGUUGCUCCUCCAAGGAGCCAAAGAGAACCCAGAAAUGAGAAGAUGUCAGGGGGCCGGCCUGUGGCUGAGUGGUUAAAAGUUCUGUGUACUCUGCUUCGGCAACCCAGGUAUGCGGGUUUGGAUCCUGGGCUCUGACCCACUCCACUCAUCAGCCAUGAUGUGGAGGCAUCUCAUAUACAAAAUAGAGGAAGAUUGGCACAGAUGUUAGCUCAGGGUAAAUCUUCCUCACCGAAAAAGAAAAGAAAGAGAAGAUGCCAGCAGCAGUGGUCUGGGGCCAGGCUCCCAGAAUCGCGACCUCCUCUGCAUCCAGACCCCCCCAUCCAACAAGGGUGGUGGCCUGGGACAAGGUCACUGCAGAGGAGGAACCUGAGCAGGGACCCUGAUCACCUGCCCAGCUGCCCCUCUCCCAGUGCAUCAAACAAGCAAACUCUUAUUCCUGCUCUUCUGGAUGGAAGGAGCAAAAGCAACCCGAGCCAUAAACAUGAACGUGGAGUGAAGGCUGGCAGAAGCUGUAGGGGGGAAUUCGCUUAUUCCAGGGGUGCACAGACCCGCACAUGCACAGCACCUUGGGUAUCGGUCCAAAGCAGCUCUUCAGGGAGGCUCAUCACAUACCAGCUCCAGCCCCACCCUUCACAGCAGCAUGAAUCCAUCCUAGGCUAGUAUUAGCUCUCACAGAAGAAUGGGGAUUUGGGUGAAAUAGUUUGGGUAGAAAAUGAGAACAAAUGGAGACAGGGUCGUGCAAAUGAUCCAGAGCUAGUUUGUUAGUUACAUGCAAGUCCCUGAAGAAAAAAGAUGUAAUUGCAAGAAUGUCUAAAUUGUUACAAUAUAAAUAAAGGAUUUACGAAAACAUCUUCUUCCUCCCGUGCCCCUGCACAGACUUGUUAAUUUGACCGAGAAGUCAAGCAGGAGAAUUCCAGCAGGGUUUUUAGUGGCUCACGGCUUUUAUGGAAAUUCAACAUAAAAUUUCUCGUCCCCAUUUUCCAUUUUGGCACGUAACUUGCCGCUUAAAUCUCACGUAACACUUGAAGAUAAGUUAAGCUUUGUGCAUAAGGAAGG
rnacentral:lncRNA from 1 species